GACGAACGCUGGCGGCGUGCUUAACACAUGCAAGUCGAACGGUAAGGCCCUUCGGGGUACACGAGUGGCGAACGGGUGAGUAACACGUGGGUGAUCUGCCCUGCACUUCGGGAUAAGCCUGGGAAACUGGGUCUAAUACCGGAUAGGACUCCGGACUGCAUGGUCUGGGGUGGAAAGCUUUUGCGGUGGGGGAUGGGCCCGCGGCCUAUCAGCUUGUUGGUGGGGUGAUGGCCUACCAAGGCGACGACGGGGAGCCGGCCUGGGAGGGUGACCGGCCACACUGGGACUGAGAUACGGCCCAGACUCCUACGGGAGGCAGCAGUGGGGAAUAUUGCACAAUGGGCUCAAGCCUGAUGCAGCGACGCCGCGUGAGGGAUGACGGCCUUCGGGUUGUAAACCUCUUUCAGCAUCGACGAAGCGAAAGUGACGGUAGGUGCAGAAGAAGGACCGGCCAACUACGUGCCAGCAGCCGCGGUAA
rnacentral:rRNA from 1 species